AUUUAGAUUUUCUUUCGGCAGUGGGUGUCACCUCAUCUACCAUAUAUAUAUAUAGUUUGUUUUUCUUUAAUUUCGUCAUUACUUUUGUAACUUCGGAGCACCUUCCACAAUACAUAUCCUCAUCGCAACGUCUGCUGCAAUGGGAGGAUUGUUAUCAAGAGGACCGCUGAGACCAGAGCCGAGACCAGAGCCGAAACCAGAGCCGAGACCAGGGCCAUUUCUCCCUAAUCCAUGGCGUGAAGUUAAAUUUAGUGAUGAUGCUUACAUGAAACUUCAAGAAGAAAUAAAAAAACACGAACCCCACCGUAAGGCUUACACAACAAAUAUUCUUAUUUCGGGUAGUGUGGGUUCUGGAAAGUCAAGCUUUCUAAAUUCUGUGCUCUCAGAACUCAGGAGAAAAGAAUUCAACGGCAGAGUGCAAACCCUUCAAGCCGUGAGACCAGGUGCACAAACAAGCGUCACACAACGUCUAAGAUGCCACAAAUUCAUUGAGAAGAUCAAAAUCUUUGAUACAGCAGGAUUUGAAUUGGAGAAAACAGUGAAUGCCACGAUAAUAUUAAAGAAGAUUAUAGAUGGUGAAGUGGCUGAAGGCACAAAGUUUGACAAUAUUCUGAAAUCAAAAAUGGAAGGAGACAAAAUCCACUGUGUUGUGUUGGUUCUAUCACUUCAUACCGCUGAAAAUAUGCACCCAGCAUUGAUUCAGUUUUAUGAACAAUUCAUUGGAAUGCUCACAGAGACUGUAUAUAUAUUAUGUAUCCCUGCAGCCGCCACCAGAAGUACCAUGCCAGCUGCUUGUUACAUUCGUUGAUAAACUUGUCGAGAAGACUGAGGAUUUGAAAAAUCUGUACAGGAGAAGAGAUAUAAAACAAAAGAUUGAAAUGUUAGCAAAGAAGAUGAGAAUUUCAAUGUGCAACGUCCUUGUGGUUUCAAACUACUUUGAGGAGAUGAAAAUUAACCAAAUAAAAGGAACUCUGCUGUUGGAGGCAGUUGCUCAAAUGCUGAUGGCUGCAAAACCCUUUCAAGAGAGAAUGUAGAGUAUCACCUGUCACACCUGAAGCACGCUGAGCCCAUUCACAAUUUGAAUUGAUUUCCAAUGGGAGAAUGGCCACUUUGUGUAUAAGAGAAGCCAAUUCCUUUGUUUGGAGAGAGCAGGAGGAAGCAGCAGGAGGCUGUGGUCCCAGAUAACACCCAGUCAGCACUAUCACAGAGUUACUUUUUGUAUUUAUGAAUUUUAUUCAGCUCAUUCUCUACUUGUAUAUUC